rnacentral:rRNA from 1 species
UACGGAGGGUGCAAGCGUUAUCCGGAUUCACUGGGUUUAAAGGGUGCGUAGGUGGAUUGAUAAGUCAGUGGUGAAAGCCCCGAGCUCAACUUGGGAAUUGCCAUUGAUACUGUUAGUCUUGAGUUCGGUUGAGGUAGGCGGAAUAAGUCAUGUAGCGGUGAAAUGCUUAGAUAUGACUUAGAACACCGAUUGCGAAGGCAGCUUACCAAGCCGACACUGACACUGAGGCACGAAAGCGUGGGGAUCAAACAGG